rnacentral:lncRNA from 1 species
CGGGGGUGGAACGGGAAACGGACUGAAGCAGCAAAGCAAAGCAAAGCAAAUGUUUGGUAGUUGGUCAGGUCAGAUGAUGGGGUGCUGUCAGUCGUCGGUGGAAGCACCUAUCACCAUUCAUCAGCAACAGCAAAGCCUAACCACAAGGGAUUAUUCCCGGCGUUUUGUCCGUGUCGUCAAUCAGUGGUUGGGGAAUUUUUCUUUUUCUUCUUGUCUUGUUUUGUCUUGUUUCUUUUUCUUUUCUUGUAUAAAUAUAUAAAUACACAUGGAGGAAUUCAGCGGAUCGAUUGGGGGUGGCGGCGGGUAUGGUAUGGUAUGGUCAUCGAGCUAAUCUGACUCUGACAGAGUCACAGCGUGGAUGGAAACCGAUUUCGCCACAUUCAAUUAAGACUGUCUCUGUCUCUGCUAAUUCAGAGUUGAAACGGGAUCGGAACCUCCCUGAUCAGUUCAGACCAGACUCCAAAUACGACUAGGACUCUCCGCUUGUACGUAAAAAGCUCCGGUUUCAUUCAGGCACUAGUAUUUUUUUUUCUUCUUCUUUUGUUUAUUACUAACAAGUGUGUUUCGUGUGUCAAGGUUUGUGCUAGCUAGUUCUAUCAUUUGUCAAUCGCUACUAGAGACACGUCAAGUUUGGCUAGACAGAGAGAGGAUUGCUAGUUUCUGAAACCACAACACAAAAACUGCCUGUGUCUGACGCCCUGAUCCUCAUGAAACUUGCCUGGCUACCAUACCAUCAAGACACCAAAUUAAACAUGGCAGCGGUAACCAAUAUGGACCGUCUGUUUACUUGAGCUUAUCAGCCAAGGCCUUGAUCCGAUUUUUUUUUAGAUUUUAACACUGUAGCACUUUCAUUUUUAUUUGACAAAUAUUGUCCAAUCAUAGAGUAACUAGACUUAAAAAAAUCAUUCACGAUUUACAGACAAACUGUGCAAUUAGUUUUUGUUUUCAUCUAUAUUUAAUGCUCCAUGCAUACGCCGUAAGAUUCGAGGCGACGCUUGAAAAGUUUUUAGUUUUUGAGCUGAACUAAACCAAGCCCAAACUUAUAAGCCAAACGAAAGGAUACACAUGAACCCGCGAGCGAGUUUACUCCUACGUUGCGGCAGACAAGAAAUCAUGCGGCUCUUGCUCACUGUCUGUCCUGAAUUCUGAUGACACCCCCAAGGAAGUGCACAAGAAGAGUCAUCAGUCACCAAUGGCAAUGGACCAGCAGCACCACGCCGUGCCUCCCCUUUCAGAAGUACUGUACUCCUAUGAGUAACUGUCCACGGAAGGAAUGAUGGAUGCAAAUGGAAAAAAAUGCGAGAGAGAUUCAUCAAUGUGGGGAUGGUUGGCUGGUGGUUGUUCUUCACAUGGUCCUGCAGCCUGCACCAGAGCAUGCCUGGCCU